rnacentral:lncRNA from 1 species
AUGAGGCAGCACUUCCAAAUUCUUGGAAUAAAGAACAGGGGGAAUCCAUGCCUGUCUGCGACAGAAAUGUGGCCACUUUCUCAAGAAAGGGUUAACAAGAAUGAGAGGAAAGAGCAAAGGCUGGUCCUAAUGAGACAUAAAGAACCAGUGUGGUCUAUGCAUGUGGAGAGGAGGGAUGAAUUGAUACCAAAGUAUGAAACAGAUUUGCUCCUCCUUGUAACUUCAAAAUGAAGACAUUCCUUAAGAGAUAUGCUGUUUAAUGUCUGCCAAGGAAAAAGGUUUGCUUAGCUCAUAUUUACUUAUUUUUGUAUUAAUUUGGGAAAGGACUCUUACAUCACAAAUACUCUAAACGCUAAACAGAUAAUAUCUGAGAUUCUCUUCUCCUUUGUUAUUUGGAUUUGAAAUAGUUUUGUUGUUGUUGUUUGGGUUUUUUUGGGCUGUUUUCUUUUUUCACUGUAAGAAGAAGAAGAACAGAAGUUUAUUUAUCAUUUCAGUUCUUAUCUGCACUGUUCUUCUCACGUUGUAACAUUUUGUGAGUCUAAGAGUUCUUCAGCAUCUGAUUGUGCUUUGUACCAUUAGAGAAGUUCCCAAAGAAUUCUGGACUGCAGGGGGAAAGAUGGCAUAUAGGAAGAAAUGCCAAAGCAAUAUAAUUUUCCCUGGAUUCUGAUUAAGUUGAGGCUAGGAUUCCUGAUAGUAUAUUUCCUUCUCUCAAACUCACCAUCCCCCUUCUCUUUGUUCUCUCUUUUUAACAGUGCAGCUGCCACUCUUCUUUCCCCAGUGGAAGAACAUGAAUUACCAGCUCUUUAAUGUUUUCUUGUCUGAAGAGUCCUCAGCAUGCCACUCAAUCACGAAACAGGAGGUAAGUGUAACUAAAGUACAUUCGGCAUACCUGAACAUCUCCAAAUGGGAAAACAAGACAAGAAUAAGGUCUUUCUCUAGACCAUACGUGUCCCACAUACAAAAUACAUUACAUACUUAAUAUAUGUAAGUAACAAAACAACUUUUUUUUUUUUUAAUUUUAAUUUAAACACAUAAAAAGAGGGCAGCAAAAAUUUCAAACUGACGGGAUUUAUUCCAGCAACGCUGGAAUUAAAAAAAUACGCAGCCAUUUAUUUUUAUAGUACUAGCACUGUUGUC